UACGUAGGGUGCAAGCGUUAAUCGGAAUUAUUGGGCGUAAAGGGUGCGCAGGCGGUUGUAUAAGUCAGAUGUGAAAUCCCUGGGCUUAACCUAGGAAUUGCGUUUGAAACUAUAUAACUAGAGUGUGACAGAGGGGAGUGGAAUUCCAUGUGUAGCAGUGAAAUGCGUAGAGAUGUGGAAGAACACCGAUGGCGAAGGCAGCUCCCUGGGUUAACACUGACGCUCAGGCACGAAAGCGUGGGGAGCAAACAGGAUUAGAAACCCUUGUAGUCC
rnacentral:rRNA from 1 species